UGAUGGGUUUAUCUGGGGUUUCCACAUUUGCUUCUUCCUCAUUUUCUCUUGCUGCCACCAUGUAAGAAGUGCCUUUCACCUCCUGCCAUGAUUCUGAGGCCUCCCCAGCCAUGUAGAACUGUAAGUCCAAUUAAAUCUCUUUUUCUUCCCAGUCUAAGGUAUGUCUUUAUCAGCAGCGUUAAAAUGGACUAAUACAUUUGCCUAAGCGGAAACUCGGGUUCUACUUUUUAUACAGAGCUUAAUAGUUUAUAAUGAACAUUAUAGUAGUAGUUGUGCAUCAAAACCUAUAAGGUGGGCAAAACAGGUAAUACUUCUCCCAUUUUACAG
rnacentral:lncRNA from 1 species